rnacentral:rRNA from 1 species
GACAGCAGCAGCCGCGGUAAUACAGAGGGUGCGAGCGUUAAUCGGAUUUACUGGGCGUAAAGCGUGCGUAGGCGGCUUCUUAAGUCGGAUGUGAAAUCCCUGAGCUUAACUUAGGAAUUGCAUUCGAUACUGGGAAGCUAGAGUAUGGGAGAGGAUGGUAGAAUUCCAGGUGUAGCGGUGAAAUGCGUAGAGAUCUGGAGGAAUACCGAUGGCGAAGGCAGCCAUCUGGCCCAAUACUGACGCUGAGGUACGAAAGCAUGGGGAGCAAACAGGAUUAGAUACCCGAGUAGUCCCUGUCUCUUAUAC